GGUAGCAUAAUCAUUAGUCUCCUAAUUAGAGGCUUGUAUGAAUGGUCGGACAAGAUGGAAGCUGUCUCAAUAUAAUAAAUAUAAAUUGAUAUUUAAGUAAAAAAGCUUAAAUGAAAUGAAGGGACGAUAAGACCCUAUAAAGCUUUAUAACAUAAUCUUUUUGCGCAAAAUAUCUAAUGUAAAACAUUAAAAGAAUCAUGUUAUUUUACUGGGGCGGUAAAAGUAUAUUAAAAAUAACUGCUUUUGUUUUAUAAAACAAUAAUAAUUGGUACACAGAUUGAUCCAUUAAUAAUGAUCAUAAAAACAAGUUACUUUAGGGAUAACAGCGUAAUUUUUUUUGAGAGUCCUCAUCGAAAAAAAAGUUUGCGACCUCGAUGUUGAAUUAAGGAUACCUUAAAGUGCAGCAGUUUUAAAGGUAGAUCUGUUCGAUCUUUAAUUCUUUACAUGAUUUG
rnacentral:rRNA from 1 species